rnacentral:rRNA from 1 species
UACCCGGAUAACAACAGAUGAUGCCUAUCAACUGUUUAAAGAUGGUUCUGCUAUCACUCUUGGGAUGGACCUGCGGUGCAUUAGCUAGUUGGUAGGGGUAACGGGCCUACCCAAGGCGAUGAUGCAUAGCCCGAGUUGAGAGACUGAUCGGGCCACAUUGGGACUGAGACACGGCCCAAAACUCCUACGGGGAGGCAGCAGUAGGGAAUCUUCCACAAUGGACGCAAGUCUGAUGGAGCAACGCCGCGUGAGUGAAGAAGGGUUUCGGCUCGUAAAGCUCUGUUGUUGGUGAAGAAGGACAGGGGUAGUAACUGUACCUUUGUUUGACGGUAAUCAAUUAGAAAGUCACGGCUAACUACGUGCCAGCACCGCGGUAAU